AUUGAACGCUGGCGGCAUGCCUUACACAUGCAAGUCGAACGGCAGCGGACCUUCGGGUGCCGGCGAGUGGCGAACGGGUGAGUAAUGCAUCGGAACGUGCCAUUGAGUGGGGGAUAACGUAGCGAAAGUUGCGCUAAUACCGCAUAUUCUGUGCGCAGGAAAGCAGGGGACCGCAAGGCCUUGCGCUCUUUGAGCGGCCGAUGUCAGAUUAGCUAGUUGGUGAGGUAACGGCUUACCAAGGCGACGAUCUGUAGCGGGUCUGAGAGGAUGAUCCGCCACACUGGAACUGAGACACGGUCCAGACUCCUACGGGAGGCAGCAGUGGGGAAUUUUGGACAAUGGGGGCAACCCUGAUCCAGCCAUGCCGCGUGAGUGAAGAAGGCCUUCGGUUGUAAGACUCUUUCGUGUCGGAAGAACGUAGUUCCGCGGUUAAUAACCCGCCGGAAUUUGACGGUACCGCACGGAAGAAGCACCGGCGUAACUCCGUGCCAGC
rnacentral:rRNA from 1 species